GAUCAACGCUGGCGGCGUGCCUCAGACAUGCAAGUCGAACGAUUAAAGCUCUCUUCGGAGAGUGCAUAGAGUGGCGCACGGGUGAGUAACACGUAAGUAAUCUACCUUCGAGUGGGGAAUAACGUCCGGAAACGGACGCUAAUACCGCAUAAUGCAGCGGCAUCGCAAGAUGACAGUUGUUAAAGGAGCAAUUCGCUUGAAGAGGAGCUUGCGGCAGAUUAGCUUGUUGGUAAGGUAACGGCUUACCAAGGCUACGAUCUGUAACCGGUCUAAGAGGACGGUCGGUCACACUGACACUGAAUAACGGGUCAGACUCCUACGGGAGGCAGCAGUCGGGAAUUUUGGGC
rnacentral:rRNA from 1 species